rnacentral:rRNA from 1 species
UACAGAGGUCUCAAGCGUUGUUCGGAUUCAUUGGGCGUAAAGGGUGCGUAGGCGGCGCGGUAAGUCGGGUGUGAAAUCUUGGAGCUUAACUCCGAAACUGCAUUCGGAUACUGCCGUGCUUGAGGACUGGAGAGGAGACUGGAAAUUUACGGUGUAACGGUGAAAUGCGUAGAUAUCGUAAGGAAGACCAGUGGCGAAGG